ACGCCGAAGCUGUAGAUGUCGGACAUCUUGGUGAGCUUGCCGGUCAUGGCGUACUCGGGGGCGCAGUAGCCGUAGGUGCCCAUCACCCUGGUGCUGACGUGGCUCUCGUCGCCGAGGGGGCCGAGCUUGGCGAGCCCGAAGUCGGAGAGCUUGGAGUUGAAGUCCUUGUCCAGGAGGAUGUUGGAGGCCUUGAGGUCCCGGUAG
rnacentral:rRNA from 1 species